GGAGUUGUAGCUCAGUGGUAGAGUGCUCACCUAGCACAUGUGAGGCCCUGGGUUCAAUCCUCAGCACCA
rnacentral:tRNA from 1 species